rnacentral:rRNA from 1 species
UUUAUGGAGAGUUUGAUCCUGGCUCAGGACGAACGCUGGCGGCGUGCCUAAUACAUGCAAGUCGAGCGGACUAAUGGGAG